AGAAACUGAACUUUCCUCUGAGAAGUGAAAGACUUUGGACCAAAGCCUUCCUCUGAUCCCUGGGCCGUGCAUAUCUAUCCUCUCUGAAAAUCCCUAUUGACCCAGACUAUGAGAGAAGUUCAUCCACUUCUGUUGAAGCUAUUCUGAUGUGCAUAGGAUGGUAAAAUCUGCAUGGCGAGGAAGGAAGGAGAAAGACUGUUCUAGUUUGCCUGGACAGCCUCUCCAGCCCAAGGUGUUUACAGAGGUUUCAGGCCCCAGUUAGCAGUCAAGACAGAAGUUAAGCUAAGAAGACAGAAGAGCUUCUCUCCUCAUCCUUGUGCUGGCCAUGAUAUAACUUCAUGAACUGUCAGAUCAGCUUCAGAGAAAUCACAUGACCUGAUGACAUGAAGAAUGAUCUCUGUCCCUUGUGAGUCCAAGAGGUGGCAGCUGUGGUCACACUCUGGUGCAUGGAAGCUCAGGAGAUUUGAGGCUCUGCAUAAGGAAGCCACAUGAUGAAUGGAAGAAGUGAGACGACAAUUUGCAAAGUGUGAUUCCUGAAGAUACACACGAGGUCUCAUGCCUCCCAGGCUGGGAAAAAAAGUGUUUUAAAUAGACAAACAAAACAAUACAAAAAGAUAAUCUCACCAACUAUGAGGUAGAGUAUGGAAUAAGAGUAGGAAUUUCUGUGGAUUUAGCCCCUUGGAGAUGAAAAGAGUGUGGUAAGACAUUAUAGGACAAAAUGUCCUAAUCGUUGCUUGAAUUUUAACAAGUAACUAUGGAAAGAGGUGAGGAAUCAGCAUCAAGGUCACAUGUGCAGUAAAUACAGUAAUUGUUCACUGAGGAAUAUAGUUAUGUCAAGAAUGCUUUGUAAAAGUCAGGAAAAGCAGCUGUUUGAUCCUGUGUUCAUGAGUAAUACGUGUCUUACAGGUCUGUGACUGCUUACUAUGCAUCAUAAUCUCUGUAUUUCCAUUUUUAUUUUAUUUUAUUCCACAUAAUUACAAAUAGCUAAUAUUCCCACAAGUACAAAGCUACAAUGAUGUACUUUCAUCUCCUUCUGAGGGCUUUGUGCUGUUUUAAGAAUAAGAAAACCUCCCACAACUGGAUCAAGUCUUUGCUCCGGAAUAAAAUUAU
rnacentral:lncRNA from 7 species